AGCUGGGAGUCUUUCUGGGUAAGUCUCUAAGAGUGAUUACAGCUGGGAGUCUUUCUGGGUAAGUCUCUAAGAGUGAUUACAGCUGGGAGUCUUUCUGGGUAAGUCUCUAAGAGUGAUUACAGCUGGGAGUCUUUCUGGGUAAGUCUCUAAGAGUGAUUACAGCUGGGAGUCUUUCUGGGUAAGUCUCUAAGAGUGAUUACAGCUGGGAGUCUUUCUGGGUAAGUCUCUAAGAGUGAUUACAGCUGGGAGUCUUUCUGGGUAAGUCUCUAAGAGUGAUUACAGCUGGGAGUCUUUCUGGGUAAGUCUCUAAGAGUGAUUACAGCUGGGAGUCUUUCUGGGUAAGUCUCUAAGAGUGAUUACAGCUGGGAGUCUUUCUGGGUAAGUCUCUAAGAGUGAUUACAGCUGGGAGUCUUUCUGGGUAAGUCUCUAAGAGUGAUUACAGCUGGGAGUCUUUCUGGGUAAGUCUCUAAGAGUGAUUACAGCUGGGAGUCUUUCUGGGUAAGUCUCUA